rnacentral:ncRNA from 2 species
GACAGAAAAGGCGCCGACGGGGCCCUCUCAAGCCUGAGGAAACCGGUGUGAAUCCGGUGCGGUCCCGCCACUGUGAUCGGGAUUGGGCACGUCCCAACCCGAGAGCCAGAUACUCACCGUCGGCGCUUCCUCAAC